rnacentral:rRNA from 1 species
UACGUAGGGUGCAAGCGUUGUCCGGAAUUAUUGGGCGUAAAGAGCUCGUAGGCGGUUUGUUGCGUCGGCUGUGAAAUCCCGAGGCUCAACCUCGGGUCUGCAGUCGAUACGAGCAAACUAGAGUGUUGCAGGGGAGACUGGAAUUCCUGGUGUAGCGGUGAAAUGCGCAGAUAUCAGGAGGAACACCGGUGGCGAAGGCGGAUCUCUGGGCCUUACCUGACGCUGAGGAGCGAAAGCAUGGGGAGCAAACAGG